GAUGAACGCUGACAGAAUGCUUAACACAUGCAAGUCGAUUCGAUUUACCUUCGGGUAUUGAGGAUGGCGGACGGGUGAGUAACGCGUAAGGAACUUGCCUCUUGGUCUGGGACAACUGUUGGAAACGACAGCUAAUACCGGAUAUUAUGAGAUUCUCGCAUGGGAAACUUAUGAAAGCUAUAUGCGCCAAGAGAGAGCCUUGCGUUCCAUUAGCUAGUUGGUGGGGUAACGGCCCACCAAGGCGACGAUGGAUAGCCGGCCUGAGAGGGUGAACGGCCACAAGGGGACUGAGACACGGCCCUUACUCCUACGGGAGGCAGCAGUGGGGAAUAUUGGACAAUGGGCCACAAGCCUGAUCCAGCAAUUCUGUGUGCACGAUGAAGGUCUUCGGAUUGUAAAGUGCUUUCAGUUGGGAAGAAGAAAGUGACGGUACCAACAGAAGAAGCGACGGCUAAAUACGUGCCAGCAGCCGCGGUAAUACGUAUGUCGCAAGCGUUAUCCGGAUUUAUUGGGCGUAAAGCGCGUCUAGGCGGAAAAAUAAGUCUGAUGUUAAAAUGCGGGGCUCAACUCCGUAUUGCGUUGGAAACUGUUUUUCUAGAGUACUGGAGAGGUGGGCGGAACUACAAGUGUAGAGGUGAAAUUCGUANAUAUUU
rnacentral:rRNA from 1 species